rnacentral:rRNA from 1 species
GCAACAGCUCAAAUUUGAAAUCUGGCCCCAGGCCCGAGUUGUAAUUUGCAGAGGAUGCUUUUGGCGCGGUGCCUUCCGAGUUCCCUGGAACGGGACGCCAUAGAGGGUGAGAGCCCCGUACGGUUGGACACCAAGCCUUUGUAAAGCUCCUUCGACGAGUCGAGUAGUUUGGGAAUGCUGCUCAAAAUGGGAGGUAUAUUUCUUCUAAAGCUAAAUAUAGGCCAGAGACCGAUAGCGCACAAGUAGAGUGAUCGAAAGAUGAAAAGCACUUUGAAAAGAGGGUUAAACAGCACGUGAAAUUGUUAAAAGGGAAGCGCUUGUGACCAGACUUGCGUCCGGUGAAUCACCCAGCUCUCGCGGCUGGGGCACUUCGCCGGCACAGGCCAGCAUCAGCUUGCCGUCGGGGACAAAAGCUUCAGGAACGUAGCUCUCUUCGGGGAGUGUUAUAGCCUGUUGCAUAAUACCCUUCGGCGGGCUGAGGUACGCGCUCCGCAAGGAUGCUGGCGUAAUGGUCAUCAGCGACCCGUCUUGA